rnacentral:rRNA from 1 species
GUGAUGGACUGCCUUUUGCAUAAUGAUCCUGCGAGUUGUGGUGUCUGGCAAGGUUAAGUGAAAACGAGCCGUAGCGAAAGCGAGUCUGAAUAGGGCGCUUUAGUCAGACGCUGCAGACCCGAAGCCAAGUGAUCUAUCCAUGGCCAAGUUGAAACGAGUGUAACAGCUUGUGGAGGACUGAACCCGUGCCCAUUGAAACGGGCUGGGAUGAGCUGUGGAUAGGGGUGAAAGGCCAAACAAACUUGGUGAUAGCUGGUUCUCUUCGAAAUAUAUUUAGGUAUAGCCUCAAGUGAUGACAAGAGGGGGUAGAGCUCUGAUUGGGCUAGGGCUGCUCGCCGCAGUACCAAACCCUGUCAAACUGCGAAUACCUUUUGUUGUAUCUUGGGAGUCAGGCGGUGGGUGAUAAAAUCAAUCGUCAAGAGGGAAACAACCCAGACUACCAACUAAGGUCCCCAAGUUCUAUUCUAAGUGGAAAAAGAUGUGUGGUUACUCAAACAACCAGGAGGUUGGCUUAGAAGCAGCCAUCCUUUAAAGAAAGCGUAACAGCUCACUGGUCUAGUGAUCAUGCGCUGAAAAUAUAACGGGGCUAAGAUAGACACCGAAGUUGUAGAUUGCUCUUUUAGAGCAGUGGUAGAAGAGCGUUCUGUGCAGCGUUGAAGGCAUACCGGUAAGGAGUGCUGGAGCGCACAGAAGUGAGCAUGCAGGAAUGAGUAGCGAUAAGAUGCGUAAGAAUCGUAUCCGCCGUAAAUCUAAGGUUUCCUACGCGAUGUUCGUCAUCGUAGGGUUAGUCGGGUCCUAAGCCAAGUCCGAAAGGGGUAGGCGAUGGGAAAUAGGUUAAUAUUCCUAUACCAAUUAGGGUGUGCGAUGGGAGGACGCAUAAAGUUAGGUGAGCCAACGGAUGGAAGUGUUGGUCUAAGGGUGUAGAUUGGGAGAGAGGCAAAUCCGCUCCUGUAUUUGAAACCUGAAAGGCUCUUGGCGGUCUUCGGACCAAAGAGAGAAUCACUGAUACUAUCGUGCCAAGAAAAGUCUCUAAGUUUAGCCCUAAUUGUCCGUACCGCAAACCGACACAGGUAGAUGAGAUGAGUAUUCUAAGGCGCGUGGAAGAACUCUCUUUAAGGAACUCUGCAAACUAGCACCGUAAGUUCGCGAUAAGGUGUGCCACAGCAAUGUGGUCUCAGCAAAGAGUCCCUCCCGACUGUUUACCAAAAACACAGCACUUUGCCAACUCGUAAGAGGAAGUAUAAGGUGUGACGCCUGCCCGGUGCUCGAAGGUUAAGAGGAUGGGUUAGCCGCAAGGCGAAGCUUUGAAUUGAAGCCCGAGUAAACGGCGGCCGUAACUAUAACGGUCCUAAGGUAGCGAAAUUCCUUGUCGGUUAAAUACCGACCUGCAUGAAUGGCGUAACGAGAUGGGAGCUGUCUCAAAGAGAGAUCCAGUGAAAUUGUAGUGGAGGUGAAAAUUCCUCCUACCCGCAGCAAGACGGAAAGACCCCGUGGACCUUUACUAUAGCUUAGCACUGCUAAUGGGAAUGCCAUGCGCAGGAUAGGUGGGAGGCUGUGAAGUAAGGGCUUUGGCUCUUGUGGAGCCAUCCUUGAGAUACCACCCUUGGCGUUUUUGUUAGCUAACUGGCCUAAGUCAUCCUUAGGCAGGACAAUGCUUGGUGGGUAGUUUGACUGGGGCGGUCGCCUCCUAAAAAGUAACGGAGGCUUACAAAGGUUAGCUCAUGGCGGUUGGAAAUCGCCAGCUGAGUGUAAUGGCACAAGCUAGCUUAACUGCAAGAGAGACAACUCAAGCAGAGACGAAAGUCGGUCAUAGUGAUCCGGUGGUUCUCGUGUGGAAGAGCCAUCGCUCAAAGGAUAAAAGGUACCCCGGGGAUAACAGGCUGAUCUCCCCCAAGAGCUCACAUCGACGGGGAGGUUUGGCACCUCGAUGUCGGCUCAUCGCAUCCUGGGGCUGGAGCAGGUCCCAAGGGUAUGGCUGUUCGCCAUUUAAAGCGGUACGCGAGCUGGGUUCAGAACGUCGUGAGACAGUUCGGUCCCUAUCUGCUGUGGGCGUAGGAAAGCUGAGGAGAGCUGUCCCUAGUACGAGAGGACCGGGAUGGACAUGCCACUGGUGCACCAGUUGUUCUGCCAAGAGCACCGCUGGGUAGCCACGCAUGGUUGUGAUAAGAGCUGAAAGCAUCUAAGCUCGAAGCCAACUCCAAGAUGAGCUUUCCCUGAAGCUCGCAUGAAGACUACAUGUUUGAUAGGGUGGGUGUGUAAGUGCAGCAAUGCAUUUAGCUAACCACUACUAAUAGAGCGUUUGGCUUGUUUGC